AACCAGGAAACACCGUCACUCUUUCAUGAUGGACGCUGUAAAACCAGCAUUUCAAUUCCCAUUCAGACUGAACAGCCCAAAAACAUCACAGCUCUCGAGAAGAUCUGCAUGGGGGAAUGGACCAAAAGAGCAGCUGCAGUUCAAACCUGCUGAACUUCUACAGGAAACCUUUGACCUCAGUCGUUGAAACCAGGAUUACAUCACAAAACCUGAAACCUCACAGCUGGAAUAAAAGGUCUGCAGAGGUUCCAGGCCGAGUCAGUGCAGGGGUGUGUGGAGAGGAACCUGCAACCGGUGCCAAGCCCCACGCGGUGGGCAGAACCCCAAACAGUUGCCCCAGAGACAGCACUCCCAGACUUUGGGACUGGGUAAGGAGCCGAUGAAUUUCAUCUGCACGGCUAUGACAGUUUUGGAGGAUGUCCACACAGUCCGAGGUCCCCCUGCACCAGAAAACAGCUGAUCUGCAUCCAAAUGAGAGACAUGGUGACAGGGGCCCUCACCCGGUUAAACUGGGCCCAGGAGACGGUCAUGUUGUGGUAAUCCUCCGGGUUGUUGCUGCUGCUGGUAAAAGCUUUCUGCGCCAGGAAGACCAGGUUCUCCUCCGUCAGCCCACGGGUGGUGUGCAUCUCCGCCUUGUACUUCAUGUCCAGAGCCUCGCAUAUCUGAGGCCACUUCACCUUGUCGGGCACCACGAAGGGCACCCUACCCUGAUGGAGAGAGGAGCAGCAUCAGGACAACAGGAGUCUGUGUGGCCCUGAACACACCACGGGGGAAGACAGAACGUCCUGAUGUGGAGACAUUUCCAAAGAGGGGCGACGCCCUUUGACUGGAACUGGACCACUGAAGGAAGAACAUCUGUGUCUAUGCAGGAUGCUCCUGCUGCUCAGGUGGAUGGUUCACACUGAGAAGCUUCAUGUUCAGCGGUUAUGCACGUUAAAACCAAAACUUUAUUCAUAACUUCAAGGAAACGAGCUGCACUAACAAAGCUGGUCAGGGAAAACUGACAUCAGUUCUGAAGACUUCUGGAGAAAUGUUUUAGCCAAAUGAUAUUUAAUCAUCAUUUGUUAUUCAAUAAUAAUUAUUUAUUUGUGUUAUGAUUUAUAUUUUAUCAUUUUGCUAAUAAUAAAAAACACAAAAUGAAAUGUGCCAUCAAACCUCAACCUGUUUGUGUUUGAAAAUAAAACAAUAAGCAGCAUUUCUCCAUCUGUAAAUAAGUAAACACAGAUUUAAAGAUUUGUGUUGUUCAUGAAAGGACAGUGAGACGAGCGGACAUUUUCCUCAUUUUACUUUUUUAAAUUUCCUCAGGGAUUAUUAAAGACCUUUUCUAUUCUAUUCUAUUCUAUCCUGUGCAGACUGAUCACAGAGGUGAACCACCAAAA